AUCCUGCGCGGGAUUCGAACCCGCGUUCCUAUAGUUGGAAGGCAGGAACGCUAACCGCAACGCCGCGCCGGA